UAGGUUUGUGAUGAGCUCCGAGGACUUCCAAUACUCGUUACAGUUUACCCAAACCUCUAUUCGACUUCAGGCACCUCUUAUUCAGGCCUUGAAUGGAUUACAGACUUAGAAGAAGUAAAAAUAUACAGAGAAGAAAAAGAAAAAAAAUAUGAGUGUCCGGGCACAUCAUGCAUAUAUACAUGCGUGUAGGGGCAUUAUUCUUCACUCCAAGUCUUGUAGUCAUCGAAGUGAGUAUAGAUUGAAGAUGUGAACUCUUCAAGACAGAAAAAACAGCUGAUAGGUCAACUUCUCAGUCUUGCUUCAGCGUGUGUUAAAUGUGCCCUAAGUGGGACGUCUCUCUCCCUAAGAUGUUAAGUUUUUUUAACUUUUUUUCUGAGAUUUGAUCUCUCUCCUUUUAAACAUUGAUCUCUCUUCUUUUGAAUAUGUAAGAAAGAGCUUUUAUAGACAAAGCUCUCAUGAUUGCUUGAAAUGAGGCUUGACAAUAUUGAUGCCUAUCCGCAUUAUUGUUCUUUGAAUAUAUCAUCUCACAACUCAAUUCCAAAUGAUAAGUAUAGAUCAAACUCAAACUUGGAUACCUCCUUAAAGUGCUCAAGGGAAUCAAAUUACCGGUGACUAACACCUGGCAAACAAUAACCGCAUUUUAGAUGGAGAAAUAAAAAUCGACAAUAAAAUUGCAAGCACAAAGAACAAAUUCGAAUUUUCUGCUACAGGCCAACAAACACAAAAAAAUAGAAAAAAAAAAAAUAACCAACAAAAAAUCCUCUCUCUCAACAAAAAUAUAUUUUCUUUAUUUCAUCAAAAUUCACCCUUUGACAUUGUACGAUCCGCCACCUUUUGUAUACUCAACUUCUUCCGCCUAUUCAAAGAUAACUUUCCCAUAUUAUCAACAACUCGAUCUCUUCCCCACCAAAACAAACAAAGAGCGUCACUUAUCCAAGGGAAUAACGGACCUAUCAAAAAGAAUGAAGGUUUUAUUUAUCCUUCCAAAAUCAAAAACGUUUUACUAAUAUAAAAAUAAUAAUAAAGAGAUAGAAAUAAAAAUGCCAAUAUAAUACUUCCUAAAAAGAAAUAGACUUUAUCAAACUAAAAAAAACCAUAUUAAUCUUAUUUCUAAAAAUUAGUCCUAAUAAAAAAAAUAAAAAGUCUACCCACUUCUCUAAAUAUAAAAUUACAAAAAAUAGAACUAAAAUUUUGUAAAAACUACAUUUGAUGUGCAUCAUUCUCCCUGGUUGGAGAAAACUCGUCCUCGAGUUUUAAAAUGCGCUAAGAUAAAACUUAUAUUAGUAUUACAACCUUCUUAAACUUAAUAUUGAAAACAUGAACAUGCGACCUGUGGGUUACUGCACUAAUCAAAACCUGGUUGGAGAAAACUUGUCCUCAAGUUUUAAAAUGCCGUAAGAUAAAAUUAUAUUAGUAUUACAACAUUCUUAAACCCAAUAUUGAAAACACGAUCAUGUGACCUGUGGGUUACUGCGCUGAUCAAAACACAAUGAUUGUACACUGAAAUUGAGAAACCCUUGAGGAAUGGGUCAUCGUAACGAUUGUAUAGUAAAAUUGAGAACCCUUGAAGAAUGAGCCAUCGCAUAUUCAUAGUAUUGGUAUAUGCUCAACACUGAUACAUACUAAGGAAGCAUCUUCGAGAUGAGCGCUUUCGAUGACUGAACCAACGUCACUUAUUGAUUCUCCUUUGAGUCCAUCAUUUGUUUCUUCAUCAUAUCUCUCCAAAGGUUCAAGCUCCUCUAAGUUUAAGUCAACAUCUUGAUUUUCUAUCUCACCAUUGACGGGAAAAUGUUCGAGCUCCUCUAAGUUCAAGUCAACAUCUUAAUUUUUUAUCUCACCAUGAUGAAAAAUUUAGAUAUUUGUGCUGCCUCAAGACCAACUUCUCUCCUUUCAUCUUGAUUUUCAUCAAAUAUAGGACAUUCAUCAAAGAUACUUUGAAAUGACAAUUCUAAUUGAAGACCCAAACUUACUAGUUCUUCAUCAAAUUUAAUUAGAUUACUCUUCCGACCAUGAGGCUCCCAAUGUAAAGAAUGUGCAAGAAACGGUUCCCGCAAAUAACGCCCGACUCACUAUUGUCAUCAUAUUGUGUCGGGGCUAGAUUUUGAGCCAAGCACUGGGUCAGCUAUUCUACUUGCCUUCUUAAAUUUUCGAUCGAUUUAUCUCAAAGAUCUCGGAGAUCUUAGAGUUUUCAUUCUCGUUGAAUGGCUUAUUCUCGAUACCCAACAAUAUGAAAGAAAGACUAAUGCGAUCUUGCCAGGGAAUAUAUUUUUUUUAUUUUUCUUCUUUUCACCCCUUUUCUUUUCUUUUUCUUUUCUUUUGGAAAAGAUCACUUACAAGUAGUCUUAUUACAAUAACUCUUGCUUCAAAGAAAAUUAAACUAAUAAAUCCAAUAUCGUAAAAACUUUGAUGCCAUUAAAUCAAUUUUCUUUAAACAAAGAAAAUAUCUACAAUUCUUAUGCUUGGGAAUAUAGAACCAAUAUAGCAAGAAACAAAAAAAAGAAGAUGCUGGAGAUUACCUUAACCGGGCUUAUUACACCCCACAUCGAGUCACCACCAUCCGAUAGCACGGGAUCGAUGGUCUUCAUUCAAUCUCAACUAGGAAAGCUAAUUUCGGCUAAGCUCUUCAAAGAAACCCUUACGGUCUUCACAAUACCCUUAGAUUCAAUCUCUCAAAAUAUUACUCCAAUAACUCCCAUUCCACUAUUUUAUUUUUAAGCCCUAGCUAUAAGACAAAUAUUGGAGAGAGAAGGGAGAGGUGCAUGCCUCUUUUGAAAUAUUGGAGAGAGAAGAAAGAGGUGUGUGCCUCUUUUAGAGAACCAAGAGGAGAGAAAAAGUAUUGAGGUGAGAGAUAAACUUUUCUUAUGAGAGAGAGUGAGAGAGAAAAAUUCUAAGUGGGGUGUGCCCCUUCGUAGGAUAUGAGAGAGAAAAAUGGAAUUAGGUACAAGAGAUAACAUGUAGAGAUUUUUAUAGGCUUUGAACAAGAUUAGGGUUUCUUAGGGGUUUUUUUUGCUUGCCUCACAAGAUUGAAUAUGGACCGUCGAUCAAGGGUGACUUGUGGGGUGAGAGAUCUAAGCUAUUCAUUCUAUAGAUGGGUCAUCAACAUUAUGGAAUGUGCAUGAACCCUUAUCCUUCUUUCCUAAACUAUUUUCCCAUCAAUAAAAAUUAGAUAAAAUAAAUUUAAUCAACAUGUGCAUACUAUAAAAUAGCACAAGUCUACUCAAUCUUUCCAUAAAAUCUUUCAAAGAGAUAUCAAGUCAAUAUCGUCCAAUCAUAUUGCCACAUGCCAUAUCACCACAAAAAUAGGAAAGAGGAUAAGGGUGGGGCGUGCCACCCAAGGGAGGCACUCAUGGGACCCACCUUUUAAAAAUAUGGUAGGCCCAUAUGCACAUGGGCCUCCAUGGUAUUUUUAUCUGUUUAAAAUUAAUAAAAGAAUUUUAUAAUAUGAUUUGAAUAUUUAAAUCAUUGUAAAAUCAAUAUCUGUAAUUUUAUAAAUCCAAAAAUUAUAAAUAAAACAUCCAAUGGUUCAUAAAAAUUCAAAUAAUAAUUCAAAAAUAAUUUCUAUCAUAAAACAAACACAUUUAAACUAAUAUUAUGGGAAAAUGAUCCAUAUGGCUUAGGAAUAAAUCAUGGGGUACUCUACCUUCAACUGUGGACUAUGGACCACACUUGCCGACCAAAUGUUUCCCAUGACCCACAGUCCAAGCAAAGGCUUAUUAGCGGGUCACCAAAGUCUGACCAAUGAGCUAAGGGAUCACAAUCUCAGUCUGUGGAUUUCAGGUCAUCCCCUAAAGACGAGUCAAUGUCACCUAAAUCUGAUGCGACCACAGCUCUAUGGCGCAUAAGGGUAUCUUUCGCACAUGCAUACGCUUCACCCUGAAAGGUAGCUUACUUGGUUUCCCGAACGAUCUAUUAAUAUGCAUGUCGUGUGGUGGCACAUGGAUGAGGCUUUGGCCCCUUGCUCUGUAGGCCACCAUCACACACAAGGGUCACAUAAUCCCUCGGCUUACUCAUCUAGGCAUAUGCUCCGACCUCAUCAAGGGAUGACCCAUUAGAACCCUUUUCAAUUUGUUCUCUAUGCCCCGAUAACAUGAGAUUUUUUCAACCGACUGGUCUAGAUCGUCAAGCACAAUCUGGUAUCUGUAAAUAUUGUUUGCAUAGUAUGGUCCACAAGGGACCACACUCCCACUGAGUUCAUGUUCCACUAUAUUAUUUCAUUUUAUAAGCACUCAUAAGGCCUUUAAUAGCCACACUCACCCAACACAAUAGACCAUGUCCACAAGCCAUGAUGUCUAUCGACGAACACAAUGAUCCACAAUAAUCGACUAACGCUCUGAUACCACCUGAUACCAACCAUGAUGUCCAUCGAUCCACUAUAAUCGACUGACGCUCUGAUACCACCUGACACGAGCCAUGAUAUCUAUCAACGAACACAACGAUGCACAAUAAUCGACUGACACUCUGAUACCACCUGACACAGCAUAAAAUUAUUAGCAACUAACACCUAGCAAAUAACCACGUUUUAGAGAGAGAAAAAAAAUCUAAAAAGAAAAUCACAAGCAGAAUGAACAAAUGUGCGAAUUCAAUAAUUCCGCUAUGAGUCCACAAGCACAAGCGAAAAAAACAUCCACAAGAAGCCUCUCUCUCUCUAAAAAAAAUCCACAAGAAGCCUCUCUCUCUCUAAAAAAAACACUUUCUUUAUUUCAUCAAAAUUCACCUCUUUACAUUAUAAGAUCCACCUCCUUUUAUAAACUCAACUUCUACUGCCUAUUCGAAGAUAAUUUCCCAUAUUAUCUCAACAACUCAAUCUCUUCCCAACCAAAAAACAAAGGUAGUCACUUAUCCCAGAGAUGAGUACCUUAUCUCUUAAAACUAAUGCAAAGAAAAUAAAUAACGGACCUAUCAAAAAGAAUGAAGGUUUUAUCCUUCCAAAAAUAAAAAACGUCUUACUAAUACAAAAAUAAUAAUAAAGAGAUCGAAAAAAAAAAAAAAAAAAUGAAAAUGCUAAUCUAAUACUUCCUAAAAAAUAGACUAACAAACUUAAAAAAAAAAUCAUACUAAUCCUAUUUUUAAAAAUUAAUCUUAAUAAAAAAAUAAAAAGCCUACCCACAUCUUUAAAUAUAAAAUUACAAAAAAAUAAAACUAAAAUUUUGUAGCAACUAGAUCUUGAUCUACAUCACCAACACAUUUGGACUUGAUCCACGUGUGAGAAAAUUCAGGUUACUGUUCUUCAAACUAUUUCAACUAUCUGCCUGCUUGAAUACACUUUCAUCCAACAAACAUUAUUCUCUGUUGAAAGUCCCUUUGACCCUAAAACUUGGUGUGGAGAUAGAGGAAUCAAAGAAGGAUCUAGUGGUCCAAGUCUCACUCCAUUUGGACUCAUGUGGAGGGACAUAUGCCUCCUCAAAGUUGGGGCAUUUCUGCUAUGAUCUGAGCAAGAAAUCAGUGAAUAACAAAGCUUAUAACUCGGUGCCCUUAAAAUAUCUAAUCUUGAAAUUGUAAUGUUAUAGAACCCAUCAUAAUACAUGUCUGAACCAAAUUUGGUGAUAAAACUCCUAUUAUUUUAGGAGACAUGAGAUUUUAGCGGUUAAGAACCUGACACAGGUAAUGUUGUCCAAUACAGCUUCAACCUUUUUCACCACAAGAGAUAUUAGGAUGAGGUUUUCUCAUGAAUCGUAGAAUUUGAACUAGGAAUCCAAUAGUUUUAGUCCCAUGCAAAAAGACCUUGUAGAUUGAGAGAUAUGAUGAUUUUAUCGAUUGGGUAGCGUCCUGGCUACUACAUAGCACCUAACUGAUGCGCCUGGCUACUACAUAGCACCUAACUGAUGCGCAUGAGCACUUACUCUCAAAGGUGGCGACAUGGGCACUAAACCCAUUAUCAUAUGACUAGAACAUUAAGAAGAGAGUUAUUCGACCCAAAUAUGAUCCUCUCAAUGGUUAAAAGCCAAUGGAUGAUUUCAUCGGUUAAUCCUGCUUAACUAACUAUGGAUCAUGAGAUCAUCUUCGGUGAAUUAUGGAUGGAAUGCAUAUAGUGGCCAAACAUUGAUAUUUACAAACUUGUACCUCCAAAUGACAUGAUUUGGUGAGAUUUCAUCUGUGUCCAAUCGUUAAGGCCUUUUUAACUGAUGGAAUUUCGCCGCAAUAAUCAAUUCUAUCCAAACUUCUCCCAUAAGAUAUAGGGAGGUGUAUUAAAGCCAAAGGAGCAUUAACCUACAGAUGGUCUCAAAAUGAGAUGUCUUGACAGUCUUUGAGUAAGUCUGUCGGUUAAAGUGUACAUUGACCGAUGGUGAAACUUUCAAGGCAUAUGAGGCUCUGUAUAGUAAGUUCCAAUCACAUAAGUCCUCUAAUAUGUGUCUCAAAGUAUUUUCCGCAAAUAUGAUGAUGUUCAACCAUUUACAAUGCCUUUUAUCCGUUAAGUCUAUAUGUAUUCUGAUGACCGCUCGAUCAAAUCAUCAUAAUCAAAAUAUUUUCCCAACUAAUUGGGGUCAAUAACCAGUAGAUCAAAUCUUAAGGCUAAUUUCAUCCCGAUCAAAUCAUUAGCAUCAAAGCCUUUUCCCAACUAAUUGGGGCCAGUAACCGUUAGAUCAAAUCUCAAAACUAAUCUCAUCCCUUGAUCUAUGCAUUUGAUCUUGCUUUGGAAUGUCCAAAAAUCACCCCCAACACAUUACCACUAAAAACAUGUCUAGCAACUUAUACUCAUUUCAAAUGAUAUUUUAGAAAUUAAUCCCUAUCCAUUUGACCCCUUGAUCAUUCAAAUCAAUCCCUUGGUCAUUGGGACAAUUCUUCAACAAGUGUAUUUUGGCCACAAUUGUCUAGGCUUGGUGCACGACUAAAAAUUGCAUAGAAAACAGCGCAUCUCCAAUUUUCAUCUGAAGUUCAUUACUUUCACUUUGUGGGCUAUUUGAAUUUGGUUUAUGCCUCGAGGAAGAUUCCAUCCUCACCUAAGCAUGAUUUCUUGUACUCUGGAGUUUUGAUAGCCAGUUACCUUUUGUGGGUUAACCGGCAGUCAAAACAAUAUGGGUGUUUUUGUGAACAGAUAUGGCAACUCUUUACAUAGAAAUUGUAUCCAAAAAAUAUAUCAUUGUCUAAUUGUAUGUUAUGUCUACAUAGAAACUAUAUCCUACAGCUUUUAGUAAGUAUUGAUUGUACAGUCUCUAUAAAAAUAUAAUUAUAUUGUAAUAUUAUUCAGACAAUUGAAUAUAGAGAUUGAUUUCAUUUUCACAUGGUAUCAGAACUAGGGUACCUGUCGGUUUUUUUUUUUUUGAAGUCCUUCUCUAAUCUCUUUCCUCUCCACACUGCCUUCUCUCUGUCUCGGGAUCUCUCUCUCAGAACUGCUCUAUCUCUCUGGAAUUUCUUUCUAUCAGACUACCUCCAUCUGCUUUGUUGCCUCCCUCCUCAUAAAAUUGUUUUACCAAAAAUUUAUAGAAAAAAAAAAUAAAAAAAGAAAUCCUUUGAACUCACCAAAAAACCCUUUCUCUCUGCAGAUUUGUGCUCUCACUCGCCGGAAAACCCUGAAGCUCACAAGAAAUUUCUCUUUGCAGAUCUGUGCUCUCUCUCUCUGAACUCGCCUCUCUGAACUCGCCGAAAAACCCUGAAGCUCAUAGGAAAACCCUGAAGCUCAUUAGAAAACCCUUUCUCUCUGCAGAUCUGUGCUCUCUCUCUCUCUGACCUCGUUGGAAAACCCUAAAGCUCACUGGAAAACCCUUUCUCUCGCUGCAAUCUCAUGGUGGUGUGCCAUUCUUGUGCGCUCGAGUUUGGGGAUCGAAUCCCAUUUCACUUGUAGAAGUAAGCCAUGGAUGCUCCAUAUUUCCCUUUCUUCCCAUUUGACUUGUUGAAGAAAACACAACCUUUUUCUCUCUACCUUUUUCUUUGAGCC
rnacentral:lncRNA from 1 species